rnacentral:rRNA from 1 species
AUACGGAGGAUGCAAGCGUUAUCCGGAUUUAUUGGGUUUAAAGGGUGCGUAGGCGGUUUGCUAAGCGGGAGGUGAAAUGCCGGCGCUCAACGUCGGAAGUGCCUCCCGAACUGGUGGACUGGAAUGACUCUGCCGUGGGAGGAAUGUGUAGUGUAGCGGUGAAAUGCUUAGAGAUUACACAGAACACCGAUUGCGAAGGCAUCUCACGAAGGGUUGAUUGACGCUGAGGCACGAAAGCGUGGGGAUCAAACAGGAUUAGAUACCCUGGUAGUCCACGCAGUAAACGAUGAUGGCUAACCGCUGGUUUAUUCGGAUCAGUGGCCAAGCGAAAGCGAUAAGCCAUCCACCUGGGGAGUACGACCGCAAGGUUGAAACUCAAAUGAAUUGACGGGG